rnacentral:rRNA from 1 species
GCAAAACGCGAAGAACCUUACCAAGGCUUGACAUACACCGGAAACAUCCAGAGAUGGGUGCCCCCUUGUGGUCGGUGUACAGGUGGUGCAUGGCUGUCGUCAGCUCGUGUCGUGAGAUGUUGGGUUAAGUCCCGCAACGAGCGCAACCCUUGUCCCGUGUUGCCAGCAGGCCCUUGUGGUGCUGGGGACUCACGGGAGACCGCCGGGGUCAACUCGGAGGAAGGUGGGGACGACGUCAAGUCAUCAUGCCCCUUAUGUCUUGGGCUGCACACGUGCUACAAUGGCCGGUACAAGAGCUGCGAUACCGUGAGGUGGAGCGAAUCUCAAAAAGCCGGUCUCAGUUCGGAUUGGGGUCUGCAACUCGACCCCAUGAAGUCGGAAUCGCUAGUAAUCGCGAAUCAGAAUGUCGCGGUGAAUACGUUCCCGGGU